rnacentral:rRNA from 1 species
UACCAGCUUGCUGGUAUGAUUAGUGGCGAACGGGUGAGUAAUGCUUAGGAAUCUGCCUAUUAGUGGGGGACAACAUUCCGAAAGGAAUGCUAAUACCGCAUACGUCCUAUGGGAGAAAGCAGGGGAUCGCAAGACCUUGCGCUAAUAGAUGAGCCUAAGUCGGAUUAGCUAGUUGGUGGGGUAAAGGCCUACCAAGGCGACGAUCUGUAGCUGGUCUGAGAGGAUGAUCAGCCACACUGGGACUGAGACACGGCCCAGACUCCUACGGGAGGCAGCAGUGGGGAAUAUUGGACAAUGGGCGAAAGCCUGAUCCAGCCAUGCCGCGUGUGUGAAGAAGGCCUUUUGGUUGUAAAGCACUUUAAGUGGGGAGGAAAAGCUAAUAAUUAAUACCUAUUAGCCCUGACGUUACCCACAGAAUAAGCACCGGCUAACUCUGUGCCAGCAGCCGCGGUAAUACAGAGGGUGCAAGCGUUAAUCGGAAUUACUGGGCGUAAAGCGAGCGUAGGUGGUCAUUUAAGUCAGAUGUGAAAUCCCCGGGCUUAACCUGGGAACUGCAUCUGAUACUGGGUGACUAGAGUAGGUGAGAGGGAAGUAGAAUUCCAGGUGUAGCGGUGAAAUGCGUAGAGAUCUGGAGGAAUACCGAUGGCGAAGGCAGCUUCCUGGCAUCAUACUGACACUGAGGUUCGAAAGCGUGGGUAGCAAACAGGAUUAGAUACCCUGGUAGUCCACGCCGUAAACGAUGUCUACCAGUCGUUGGGUCUCUUGAAGACUUAGUGACGCAGUUAACGCGAUAAGUAGACCGCCUGGGGAGUACGGCCGCAAGGUUAAAACUCAAAUGAAUUGACGGGGGCCCGCACAAGCGGUGGAGCAUGUGGUUUAAUUCGAUGCAACGCGAAGAACCUUACCUGGUCUUGAC